rnacentral:rRNA from 1 species
AACGAACGCUGGCGGCAGGCUUAACACAUGCAAGUCGAACGCAUCCUUCGGGAUGAGUGGCAGACGGGUGAGUAACGCGUGGGAACGUGCCCUUCAGUUCGGAAGUAACCCAGGGAAACUUGGGACUAAUACCGGAUACGUGCGAGAGCAGAAAGAUUUAUCGCUGAAGGAUCGGCCCGCGUCUGAUUAGCUAGUUGGUGGGUAAUGGCCCACCAAGGCGACG